GGGGCAGUAGCGCAGUGGUAGAGCUUCCGCCUCGUGUGCGGGAGGACUUGGGUCCGGUCCCCGGCUGCUUCC
rnacentral:tRNA from 1 species